AUUAUGAGACUGUGUCCUCUUCAUCUGGAUCUGAUGAGUUGCCGAGUUUCUCAUUUCAGCCAUACUGCUCUUUUGAGGACGUAAGAAAACUUAUAUGUGAUCUCACUGGAAGACUUGAGACUACUUGCUCGCAGGAAAUAAGCAAAACAAUUAAUAAAGUUUCAGAUUUGUCCACAAAGAGGCCUCCGUUUGACUUUGUAGUUGGAGACAGAGUCCGCGUGAAGCCAUCUGUUGUUACUCCAAUACACAAAUGGGGAUCGGUCACUUUAUUGAGUGUUGGUGUUGUUAAAAAAAUUCAGGGUGAGUGGUUGACUGUAGAUUUCCCCGAACAAAGAAACUGGACUGGUGUAUAGUUUCAGAAAUGGAGCAUGUGACCGGUGCUGGUUCAGGACCUUCAAGUCUGGACUCCAAUAUUAAGAUUGGAGACAAAGUUCGUGUGAAACCAUCUGUUGUUACUCCAACCCACAAAU